GGGUUGUGAGGUUAAGCGACUAAGCGUACACGGUGGAUGCCCUGGCAGUCAGAGGCGAUGAAGGACGUGCUAAUCUGCGAAAAGCGUCGGUAAGGUGAUAUGAACCGUUAUAACCGGCGAUGUCCGAAUGGGGAAACCCAGUGCAAUUCGUUGCACUAUCGUUAACUGAAUACAUAGGUUAACGAGGCGAACCGGGGGAACUGAAACAUCUAAGUACCCCGAGGAAAAGAAAUCAACCGAGAUUCCCCCAGUAGCGGCGAGCGAACGGGGAGCAGCCCAGAGUCUGAAUCAGCUUGUGUGUUAGUGGAACGGUCUGGAAAGUCCGACGGUACAGGGUGAUAGUCCCGUACACCAAAAUGCACAGGUUGUGAACUCGAAGAGUAGGGCGGGACACGUGGUAUCCUGUCUGAAUAUGGGGGGACCAUCCUCCAAGGCUAAAUACUCCUGACUGACCGAUAGUGAACCAGUACCGUGAGGGAAAGGCGAAAAGAACCCCGGCGAGGGGAGUGAAAAAGAACCUGAAACCGUGUACGUACAAGCAGUGGGAGCACCUUCGGGUGUGACUGCGUACCUUUUGUAUAAUGGGUCAGCGACUUAUAUUCUGUAGCAAGGUUAACCGUAUAGGGGAGCCGCAGGGAAACCGAGUCUUAACUGGGCGUUAAGUUGCAGGGUAUAGACCCGAAACCCGGUGAUCUAGCCAUGGGCAGGUUGAAGGUUGGGUAACACUAACUGGAGGACCGAACCGACUAAUGUUGAAAAAUUAGCGGAUGACUUGUGGCUGGGGGUGAAAGGCCAAUCAAACCGGGAGAUAGCUGGUUCUCCCCGAAAGCUAUUUAGGUAGCGCCUCGUGAAUUCAUCUUCGGGGGUAGAGCACUGUUUCGGCUAGGGGGUCAUCCCGACUUACCAACCCGAUGCAAACUACGAAUACCGAAGAAUGUUAUCACGGGAGACACACGGCGGGUGCUAACGUCCGUCGUGAAGAGGGAAACAACCCAGACCGCCAGCUAAGGUCCCAAAGUCAUGGUUAAGUGGGAAACGAUGUGGGAAGGCACAGACAGCCAGGAUGUUGGCUUAGAAGCAGCCAUCAUUUAAAGAAAGCGUAAUAGCUCACUGGUCGAGUCGGCCUGCGCGGAAGAUGUAACGGGGCUAAACCAUGCACCGAAGCUGCGGCAGCGACACUAUGUGUUGUUGGGUAGGGGAGCGUUCUGUAAGCCUGCGAAGGUGUGCUGUGAGGCAUGCUGGAGGUAUCAGAAGUGCGAAUGCUGACAUAAGUAACGAUAAAGCGGGUGAAAAGCCCGCUCGCCGGAAGACCAAGGGUUCCUGUCCAACGUUAAUCGGGGCAGGGUGAGUCGACCCCUAAGGCGAGGCCGAAAGGCGUAGUCGAUGGGAAACAGGUUAAUAUUCCUGUACUUGGUGUUACUGCGAAGGGGGGACGGAGAAGGCUAUGUUAGCCGGGCGACGGUUGUCCCGGUUUAAGCAUGUAGGCUGGUUAUCCAGGCAAAUCCGGAUAAUCAAGGCUGAGGUGUGAUGACGAGGCACUACGGUGCUGAAGUAACAAAUGCCCUGCUUCCAGGAAAAGCCUCUAAGCAUCAGGUAACAUCAAAUCGUACCCCAAACCGACACAGGUGGUCAGGUAGAGAAUACCAAGGCGCUUGAGAGAACUCGGGUGAAGGAACUAGGCAAAAUGGUGCCGUAACUUCGGGAGAAGGCACGCUGGUGUGUAGGUGAAGUCCCUGCGGAUGGAGCUGAGACCAGUCGAAGAUACCAGCUGGCUGCAACUGUUUAUUAAAAACACAGCACUGUGCAAACACGAAAGUGGACGUAUACGGUGUGACGCCUGCCCGGUGCCGGAAGGUUAAUUGAUGGGGUUAUCCGUAAGGAGAAGCUCUUGAUCGAAGCCCCGGUAAACGGCGGCCGUAACUAUAACGGUCCUAAGGUAGCGAAAUUCCUUGUCGGGUAAGUUCCGACCUGCACGAAUGGCGUAAUGAUGGCCAGGCUGUCUCCACCCGAGACUCAGUGAAAUUGAACUCGCUGUGAAGAUGCAGUGUACCCGCGGCAAGACGGAAAGACCCCGUGAACCUUUACUAUAGCUUGACACUGAACAUUGAGCCUUGAUGUGUAGGAUAGGUGGGAGGCUUUGAAGCGUGGACGCCAGUCUGCGUGGAGCCAACCUUGAAAUACCACCCUUUAAUGUUUGAUGUUCUAACGUUGGCCCCUUACCGGGGUUGCGGACAGUGUCUGGUGGGUAGUUUGACUGGGGCGGUCUCCUCCCAAAGCGUAACGGAGGAGCACGAAGGUUAGCUAAUCCUGGUCGGACAUCAGGAGGUUAGUGCAAUGGCAUAAGCUAGCUUGACUGCGAGCGUGACGGCGCGAGCAGGUGCGAAAGCAGGUCAUAGUGAUCCGGUGGUUCUGAAUGGAAGGGCCAUCGCUCAACGGAUAAAAGGUACUCCGGGGAUAACAGGCUGAUACCGCCCAAGAGUUCAUAUCGACGGCGGUGUUUGGCACCUCGAUGUCGGCUCAUCACAUCCUGGGGCUGAAGUAGGUCCCAAGGGUAUGGCUGUUCGCCAUUUAAAGUGGUACGCGAGCUGGGUUUAGAACGUCGUGAGACAGUUCGGUCCCUAUCUGCCGUGGGCGCUGGAGAAUUGAGGGGGGCUGCUCCUAGUACGAGAGGACCGGAGUGGACGCAUCACUGGUGUUCGGGUUGUCAUGCCAAUGGCACUGCCCGGUAGCUAAAUGCGGAAGAGAUAAGUGCUGAAAGCAUCUAAGCACGAAACUUGCCCCGAGAUGAGUUCUCCCUGAGACUUUAAGUCUCCUGAAGGAACGUUGAAGACGACGACGUUGAUAGGCCGGGUGUGUAAGCGCAGCGAUGCGUUGAGCUAACCGGUACUAAUGAACCGUGAGGCUUAACCUUACAACGCCGAAG
rnacentral:rRNA from 2 species